rnacentral:lncRNA from 1 species
GUCGCUCACCUUGGUAUAUGUGAAUAUUAAACAAAGGAAGCAGAUGGAUUCAUGACAAAGUUGUGUUUUGGUGAUAGUGAUGUGUUUGUAAAUCUUACUUUACUAAACAGUCUUGCUGCUUACAAUUAUCUCUAUCUAUAAUGAACUUGGCCCAGUAGUUUCAGUGGAAAUGUUAAUAAAAAUUUACAAAUUUUAUAAAAAUUGUUAAAAAUUGACUAUAAAGGACAAUAACUCCUUAGGGGGUCAAUUGACCAUUUCGGUCAUGUUGACUUAUUUGUAAAUCUUACUUUGCUGAACAUGAUUGCUGUGUACAGUUUAUCUUUAUCUAUAAUAAUAUUCAAGAUAACAACCAAAAACAGCAAAAUUUCCUUAAAAUUACCGAUUCAGGGGCAGCAACCCAACAAAGGGUUGUCAGAUUCAUCUGAAAAUUACAGGGCAGAUAGAUCUUGAUCUGAUAAACAAUUAUACCCCAUGUCAGAUUUGCUCUUAAUGCUUUGGUUUUUGAGUUAUAAGCCAAAAACUGCAUUUUAACCCUACAUCUUGAUUUGAUGGCCAGGUCACCGGACACAUUUUUUAAACUAGAUACCCCAAAGAUGAUUGUUGCCAAGUUUGGAUUAAUUUGGACCAGUAGUUUCAGAGGAGAAGACUUUUGUAAAAGAUAACUAAGAUUUACGAAAAAUGGUUAUAAAUUGACUAUAAAGGGCAAUAACUCGUAAAGGGGUCAACUGACCAUUUCGGUCAUGUUGACUUAUUUGUAAAUCUUACUUCGCUG